UACAAUCAUGAUGUUACUGUGUUUUCUGCUUCUGCUGUCAGUUAUACAAGAUACAUGCUUUGCACAGAAAAUAACACCAUUACAGGACACUGUUGUUGAAACUACUGAGGGGGAUUCAGUCACUCUCUCAUGUAAAUAUGAAGGCAAUAUACAAAAUUUACUGUGGUAUCGACAAUAUCCCAGAUCCAGACCUGAAUUUCUGCUCCUUGUCAUUAAGUCAUCUACAAAAAGUGUAAUAUACACUGAUUCCCGUGACCCCAGACUGGAUGGUGAAGUGAAUGUGGAUGAUAGUCGUGUGUAUCUGGAGAUCUCAUCUGUUAAAGUCAAAGACUCUGCUCUGUAUUACUGUGCACUGAGGCCCACAGUGACAGGAAACACAACAACACUGUACAAAAACCUCCAUGAAUAAAUCAAUGACACUAUUUAGGACAGUUUCCCAGACAGGGCACUAACAGUAUUUUAA